GUGGCGGGUGGUGGAGGUCGGCGACGGGCAGGUCAGCGGUCUGCCCGCGGGGACGGACCACCGGCCGCUGUUCGAGGCGCUGGUCACCGCG
rnacentral:tRNA from 1 species